GACGAACGCUGGCGGCGUGCCUAACACAUGCAAGUCGAGCGAAGUGAGUACUACGGUACGAACUUAGCGGCGGACGGGUGAGUAACGCGUGGACAAUCUACCCUGUAGACUGGGAUAACACCUCGAAAGGGGUGCUAAUACCGGAUAAUGUCGAGAAGCGGCAUCGCUUUUCGAAGAAAGGAGAGAAUCCGCUAUAGGAGGAGUCCGCGUCCCAUUAGCUAGUUGGUGAGGGUAACGGCCCACCAAGGCGACGAUGGGUAGCCGGCCUGAGAGGGUGAACGGCCACAGUGGAACGGGGACACGGUCCAGACUCCGACGGGAGGCAGCAGUGGGGAAUAUUGUGAAAUGGGGGAAACCCUGACACAGCAACGCCGCGUGAGCGAAGAAGGCCUUCGGGUUGUAAAGCUCAAUAGUAUGGGAAGAUAAUGACGGUACCAUACGAAAGCCCCGGCUAACUACGUGCCAGCAGCCGCGGUAAGAC
rnacentral:rRNA from 1 species